rnacentral:rRNA from 1 species
GACGAACCGUGCAAACGUUGUUCGGAAUCACUGGGCUUAAAGGGCGCGUAGGCGGGUUCCCAAGUCGGUGGUGAAAUCUUUCGGCCCAACCGGAAAAGUGCCGCCGAUACUGGGAGUCUCGAGGGAGGUAGGGGUCGAUGGAACUUCCGGUGGAGCGGUGAAAUGCGUAGAUAUCGGAAGGAACGCCGGUGGCGAAAGCGGCGCGCUGGACCUCUUCUGACGCUGAGGCGCGAAAGCCAGGGGAGCAAACGGG